AUUGAACGCUGGCGGCAUGCCUUACACAUGCAAGUCGAACGGCAGCGGGGGAGAAGCUUGCUUUUCCUGCCGGCGAGUGGCGAACGGGUGAGUAAUACAUCGGAACGUGCCCUGUAGUGGGGGAUAACUAGUCGAAAGAUUAGCUAAUACCGCAUACGACCUGAGGGUGAAAGUGGGGGACCGCAAGGCCUCAUGCUAUAGGAGCGGCCGAUGUUUGAUUAGCUAGUUGGUGGGGUAAAGGCCUACCAAGGCGACGAUCAGGAGCUGGUCUGAGAGGACGAUCAGCCACACUGGGACUGAGACACGGCCCAGACUCCUACGGGAGGCAGCAGUGGGGAAUUUUGGACAAUGGGCGAAAGCCUGAUCCAGCAAUGCCGCGUGUGUGAAGAAGGCCUUCGGGUUGUAAAGCACUUUUGUCCGGAAAGAAAUGGCUCUGGUUAAUACCUGGGGUCGAUGACGGUACCGGAAGAAUAAGGACCGGCUAACUACGUACCAGCAGCCGCCGUAA
rnacentral:rRNA from 1 species